GUGCGCAGUUCCCGUGCCCUAGGAGUUGGCGGCGGGGCCCAGCCGAGGUAUAAGUUCCACAGCUUCACCCUUGUCGGUGUGAUAUGGGCGUGAAAGAAGACAUAAAACAGGCUUCCCGAGUAGAACCUGCCACCCCGGGCUGGUGGGGACGCGGCACCAGGCCGGGCCGGGGGAAGCCGCUCGGACAGUGGUCCUUGGUUCCUUUCUCAGGAACCUGACCAUCAGGCCUCCCAGAAAGUAUCGAGAAACUGAAACAUCUCAGAUCAUGGCAUCUGGACAAUGAGACACACCUGCUGCCUGUUGACCAACUCCCCUUGCUUACCCCUUCGUAACUCCCCACUAUGUAAACCCUUUAUUUUAGUUAGCUUAGACUUGUCUCCCAUCUCUCAGCUGACAUCAUCUGUAAUAAAGCCUUUGAUCCCUGGCAA
rnacentral:lncRNA from 10 species